AUGGUCUUUUGGCUGCACUUGAGCCUACCUCUUAUCGCGAUGCUGUUGUUCAUCCUGGAUGGCAGCUUGCGAUGGCAGAGGAGAUUGCUGCCCUUGAGCGCACUGGCAUGUGGGGACCUGGUUUCUCUGCCUCCCCGUGUUCGUCCCAUCACCUAUAAGUGGGUCUAUAAGAUUAAGACUCGCUCCGAUGGAUCUCUUGAGUGUUAUAAAGCUCGUCUUGUGGCUCGUGGCUUUCAGCAGGAGCGUGGUCGUGAUUAUGAUGAGACUUUUGCUCCCGUGGGCCAUAUGACCACUAUCCGCACACUUUUUGCCGUGGCCUCUGUUCGCCAUUGGUCUGUGUCUCAGCUUGAUGUUAAGAAUGCCUUUCUUAAUGGUGAGUUGCGCGAGGAGGUUUAUAUGCAGCCGCCACCUGGGUAUUCAGUUCCUGAUGGCAUGGUUUGCCGUCUUCGUCGCUCUCUCUACGGCCUUAAGUAA
rnacentral:rRNA from 1 species